rnacentral:rRNA from 1 species
AUUGAACGCUGGCGGCAGGCCUAACACAUGCAAGUCGAGCGGAUGAAGAGAGCUUGCUCUCUGAUUCAGCGGCGGACGGGUGAGUAAUGCCUAGGAAUCUGCCUGGUAGUGGGGGACAACGUUUCGAAAGGAACGCUAAUACCGCAUACGUCCUACGGGAGAAAGUGGGGGAUCUUCGGCCCUCACGCAAUCAGACGAGCCUAGGUACGAUUUGCUAGUUGGUGAGGUAAAGGCCAACCAAGGCGACGAUCGUUAACUGGUCUGAGAGAAUGAUCAGUCACACUGGAACUGAGACACGGUCCAGACUCCUACGGGAGGCAGCAGUGGGGAAUAUUGGACAAUGGGCGAAAGCCUGAUCCAGCCAUGCCGCGUGUGUGAAGAAGGUCUUCGGAUUGUAAAGCACUUUAAGUUGGGAGGAAGGGCAGUAAGUUAAUACCUUGCUGUUUUGACGUUACCGACAGAAUAAGCACCGGCUAACUUCGUGCCAGCAGCCGCCGUAAAAC